AUUGAACGCUGGCGGCAUGCUUUACACAUGCAAGUCGAACGGUAACAGGCCGCAAGGUGCUGACGAGUGGCGAACGGGUGAGUAAUGCAUCGGAACGUGCCCAGUCGUGGGGGAUAACGCAGCGAAAGCUGUGCUAAUACCGCAUACGAUCUAUGGAUGAAAGCGGGGGACCGUAAGGCCUCGCGCGAUUGGAGCGGCCGAAGUCCGAUUAGGUAGUUGGUGGGGUAAAGGCUCACCAAGCCAACGAUCUGUAGCUGGUCUGAGAGGACGACCAGCCACACUGGGACUGAGACACGGCCCAGACUCCUACGGGAGGCAGCAGUGGGGAAUUUUGGACAAUGGGCGCAAGCCUGAUCCAGCAAUGCCGCGUGCAGGAAGAAGGCCUUCGGGUUGUAAACUGCUUUUGUACGGAACGAAAAGGUUUGGGUUAAUACCCUGGGCCGAUGACGGUACCGUAAGAAUAAGCACCGGCUAACUACGUGCCAGCAGCCGCAGUAA
rnacentral:rRNA from 1 species